rnacentral:rRNA from 1 species
GACGAACGCUGGCGGCGUGCCUAAUACAUGCAAGUGGAACGCAUUGGUAACACCGGACUUGCUCCAGUGUUACUAAUGAGUCGCGAACGGGUGAGUAACGCGUAGGUAACCUGCCUGAUAGCGGGGGAUAACUAUUGGAAACGAUAGCUAAUACCGCAUAAGAGGAGUUAACUCAUGUUAACUGUUUAAAAGAAGCAACGGCUUCACUAUCAGAUGGACCUGCGUUGUAUUAGCUAGUAGGUAGGGUAACGGCCUACCUAGGCACCGAUACAUAGCCGACCUGAGAGGGUGAACGGCCACACUGGGACUGAGACACGGCCCAGACUCCUACGGGAGGCAGCAGUAGGGAAUCUUCGGCAAUGGACGCAAGUCUGACCGAGCAACGCCGCGUGAGUGAAGACGGUUUUCGGAUCGUAAAGCUCUGUUGUAGGGGAAGAACGUGUGUAAGAGUGGAAAGCUUA